rnacentral:rRNA from 1 species
AAUGCACGCUGGCGGCAUGCCUAACACAUGCAAGUCGAACGAAGGCUUCGGCCUUAGUGGCGCACGGGUGCGUAACGCGUGGGAAUCUGCCCCUUGGUUCGGAAUAACAGUUAGAAAUGACUGCUAAUACCGGAUGAUGACGUAAGUCCAAAGAUUUAUCGCCGAGGGAUGAGCCCGCGUAGGAUUAGCUAGUUGGUGUGGUAAGAGCGCACCAAGGCGACGAUCCUUAGCUGGUCUGAGAGGAUGAUCAGCCACACUGGGACUGAGACACGGCUCAGACUCCUACGGGAGGCAGCAGUGGGGAAUAUUGGACAAUGGGCGAAAGCCUGAUCCAGCAAUGCCGCGUGAGUGAUGAAGGCCUUAGGGUUGUAAAGCUCUUUUACCCGGGAUGAUAAUGACAGUACCGGGAGAAUAAGCUCCGGCUAACUCCGUG